UGGUGGCGGAGCCAGCUGCGG
rnacentral:misc_RNA from 1 species